rnacentral:lncRNA from 1 species
AUUUAUCAACAAGUUAGAAAUACAAAUGAACACGACGGAAACGAUUACAAUACAACAAUGUAACAUCGAUAUCUUUAAAAAUAGUUCUUCUUUUGUCAGUUUGUCACACAUUAGAUCAGUGAUUCCCAAAGUGGUCUACAGCGACCCCUAAGAGUCUAUGACAACCUAAAAGGGGUCUACGUCUGCGAAAAAAAUUUGGGGGUCCACGAUAGUGGAUCUCAACACAUACCGUCAUAUCCUCCAACUUUGCCCUUUCCUCCUAACUUUGCCAGGGGAGUAAUUAUAAUUUUUAUUUACGAUAUCUGAGAAAAUGUAGCUUUUGAAUCUACAGUUUCCAUUUUGGUAGAAAAUAUAGCUUUUUUUUGUCACACUAAAUAAGCAUAACGUACAUAACCUCAAAUAGUCGGCUGUCACAUGGUGGCAAAAGUGAUCGUGUUGUCGUGGAGCAAAUUUUAGUGAAAAAAACUUUGAAGUGAUCGCUAGGAAGAGAUCAAAAUACCAUGGCAAAACCAAAACCAAGAAUAAAAAAACGAAAGAGUCGCAGAAAAUUGGGGUCCCGGCCAUAUAAAAACUAUACGCCAGAAAUGUUGGAAUUAGCUAUAAAGUCUGUAGCCAAUAAAACAAUUACGUCGAGAGAAGCAGAAAAACAAUUUGGAAUUCCAAGGCGCACAAUCGUUAAUAAAUUAAAUAAUUGUCAUUCAAAAUCUGUCGGGACACCUACAAGAUUAAGUGAAGAAGAAGAAGAGAAGAUAAUAAACGUAAUAAUAGCAUCGGCAGAUUACGGUAGCCCGCUCACAAAACUAGAUUUGCGUAUUUUAGUUCACAACUAUUUAAAAAAAAAUGGUAAAGAUUACCUUUUUAACGGUAAAUUGCCGGGUGAAAAAUGGGUAAACUACUUAUUGACACGCCACAGAGAAAAAUUGACGGUCAGAUCCACUCAAAAUAUAAGCAAUUCAGUAAGUAGUUAAUGUGUAAACGAUUUGUUAUUUUUAAAGUUUAUGUGACGCUCUAUUUUUUAUCGUGUAUUUUUCAUACCUACCAAAUAUCUAAAUACCAAAGUUUGUUACAUAUUUUCAUUAAUAAAUAGGUACCUACUUAAUUAAAGAUUACUUAACAUUUAUAAAAUUUGCGUUUAUUUGUGUCAUGACAACCCUAUUCCUCGAAUAUUUUAAUAUGAAGGUUCCACGAAAGAUCAACCUAACUUUGCCCACACAAUUUGUGAAAAAA